rnacentral:rRNA from 2 species
GCAGUCGACGAGCUUCCGUUGAUGACGUGCUUGCACUGAUUUCAACAAUGAAGCGAGUGGCGAACUGGUGAGUAACACGUGGGGAAUCUGCCCAGAAGCAGGGGAUAACACUUGGAAACAGGUGCUAAUACCGUAUAACAACAAAAUCCGCAUGGAUUUUGUUUGAAAGGUGGCUUCGGCUAUCACUUCUGGAUGAUCCCGCGGCGUAUUAGUUAGUUGGUGAGGUAAAGGCCCACCAAGACGAUGAUACGUAGCCGACCUGAGAGGGUAAUCGGCCACAUUGGGACUGAGACACGGCCCAAACUCCUACGGGAGGCAGCAGUAGGGAAUCUUCCACAAUGGACGAAAGUCUGAUGGAGCAAUGCCGCGUGAGUGAAGAAGGGUUUCGGCUCGUAAAACUCUGUUGUUAAAGAAGAACACCUUUGAGAGUAACUGUUCAAGGGUUGACGGUAUUUAACCAGAAAGCCACGGCUAACUACGUGCCAGCAGCCGCGGUAAUACGUAGGUGGCAAGCGUUGUCCGGAUUUAUUGGGCGUAAAGCGAGCGCAGGCGGUUUUUUAAGUCUGAUGUGAAAGCCUUCGGCUUAACCGGAGAAGUGCAUCGGAAACUGGGGAGACUUGAGUGCAGAAGAGGACAGUGGAACUCCAUGUGUAGCGGUGGAAUGCGUAGAUAUAUGGAAGAACACCAGUGGCGAAAGGCGGCUGUCUAGUCUGUAACUGACGCUGAGGCUCGAAAGCAUGGGUAGCGAACAGGAUUAGAUACCCUGGUAGUCCAUGCCGUAAACGAUGAGUGCUAAGUGUUGGAGGGUUUCCGCCCUUCAGUGCUGCAGCUAACGCAUUAGCACUCCGCCUGGGGAGUACGACCGC